AGAUUGAACGCUGGCGGCAGGCUUAACACAUGCAAGUCGAACGCGAAAGGCUCUUCGGAGCUGAGUAGAGUGGCGGACGGGGGAGGAACGCGUAGGAAUCUACCUAGUAGUGGGGGGCAACAUGGUGAAAACCAUGCUAAUACCGCAUACGCCCUAAGGGGGGAAGCGGGGGAUCCCUCGGGCUAUUAGAUUAGCCGGCGGUAGAUUUGCGAGGUUGGUGGGUAAAGGCCUACCAAGGCGACGAUCUAUAGCUGGUCGGAGAGGAUGAUCAGCCACACUGGGACUGAGACACGGCCCAGACUCCUACGGGAGGCAGCAGUGGGGAAUAUUGGACAAUGGGGGCAACCCUGAUCCAGCCAUGCCGCGUGUGUGAAGAAGGCCUUAGGGUUGUAAAGCACUUUCAGUAGGGAGGAAAAGUUAGUCGUUAAUAACGGCUAGCCCUGACGUUACCUACAGAAGAAGCACCGGCAAACUCCGUGCCAGCAGCCGCGGUAAUACGGAGGGUGCGAGCGUUAAUCGGAAUUACUGGGCGUAAAGCGCGCGUAGGCGGCCUGAUAAGUUGGAUGUGAAAGCCCAGGGCUCAACCUUGGAACUGCAUUUUGAACUGGGUAACUAGAGUACUGUAGAGGGUGGUGGAAUUUCCAGUGUAGCGGUGAAAUGCGUAGAGAUUGGAAGGAACAUCAGUGGCGAAGGCGGCCACCUGGACAGAUACUGACGCUGAGGAACGAAAGCGUGGGGGGCGAAACAGGAUUAGAUACCCUGGUAGUCCACGCCGUAAACGAUGUCAACUAGCCGUAGGGAUCCUUGAGGUCUUUGUGGCGCAGCUAACGCAAUAAGUUGACCGCCUGGGGAGUACGGCCGCAAGGUUAAAACUCAAAUGAAUUGACGGGGGCCCGCACAAGCCGUGGAGCAUGUGGUUUAAUUCGAUGCAACGCGAAGAACCUUACCAAGACUUGACAUCCUAGAAAUUUAGCAGAGAUGCUUUAGUGCCUUCGGGAAUCUAGUGACAGGUGCUGCAUGGCUGUCGUCAGCUCGUGUUGUGAAAUGUUGGGUUAAGUCCCGUAACGAGCGCAACCCUUGUCCUUAGUUGCUAACAGGUUAAGCUGAGAACUCUAAGGAGACUGCCGGUGACAAACCGGAGGAAGGUGGGGACGACGUCAAGUCAUCAUGGCCCUUACGUCUUGGGCUACACACGUGCUACAAUGGCCGGUACAAAGGGUUGCCAAGCCGCGAGGUGGAGCUAAUCUCAUAAAACCGGUCGUAGUCCGGAUCGGAGUCUGCAACUCGACUCCGUGAAGUCGGAAUCGCUAGUAAUCGUAGAUCAGAAUGCUACGGUGAAUACGUUCCCGGGCCUUGUACACACCGCCCGUCACACCAUGGGAGUGGGUUGCACCAGAAGUAGCUAGACUAACCUUCGGGAGGUCGGUUACCACGGUGUGGUUCAUGACUGGGGUGAAGUCGUA
rnacentral:rRNA from 1 species